CCCUGCCCUCCCCACUGAAUGGGUCAUUCAGGACGUGUGGAAUAAGAAAUUAGUCUCAAAAAUUUCAAUUUUACCUUUUAUCAUUUUGAAACCUUCUUUACUCAACUCGACAACCGUGCUCACCCAGCCUCCAUUGCUUGUUUCACCUCCGGCCACUAGCCCUAAACUCUUCUCGGGCAUGCCAUAUAGAAAGGCAAGAAGAGACUCACCUUUGUUUUUCUCCGUUCUGAAACCUUCCUCACUCAACCCGACAGCCCUUCUCACCCAGCCUUUAUUGCUUGCUUCGUCUUCGGCCACUAGCCCCAAAUUCUUCUCGAGCAUGCCAUAGAGAAAGGCAAGAAGAAAGCUACUUCUUGUUUUCUCUCUCUAAAUAAAAAUUUACAAAGGCUUCUCCUUUCUUUCUUUGUUUUCUGUAACAAACCCAGAAGUUUUAACCUAGUUUCAGGAAUUUUCACAAUCCAUUGCAACUUCCAAAAAAAUCUUGAGGAACCAAAAGGAAAUGAGUUUCGGAAGAAAAUGUUGCGUUGAUUUCAAGUAUGGUAGAUUUGCACAAUGUUGGAACUUUUAAUGCAGAUAUGGGAUUCAAGGUCGGAUGAACGCUAGAUAGAGUACAAUGUAAUGACGGCGUGUUAUACAAGGUUUGGAGCGGAGAUUGAUGAGUUGUACUUUAUAUGUUUUUCCCGAGUAUACCAAGGUUCAGAAUUUGUUGCGAACCCUCAUGUUAUAUUAUCUUGUUCUAGCGUGUUAUGGGGGCGGAUGUAUAGCUCUUCAGAGUAUUUGGCGUGUUAUUGGUUGGAUUAGCUCUUCAGAACAUUUGGCGUGUUAUCGGUUAGAUUAGCUCUUAUGAGCGUUUGACGUGUUUUCGGUUGGACUACUUGUGCUUGUAUAUGUAAGUCAUUCAUUAGAUCGUAAAUUAUUGUAUUAUACUAGUAUAAUGACUUUGAAUGGCAUGACAUGCAAUUGAUAUCUAAAAUUGAUUAUAUUGCGAAUAUGUAUAUAUUCUCAGAGAACAUUGGUUGAGCUUUGAAUUGAGAGAUGCAAUUCACCGGUAUGUAGUUGCAAAUGGUUGGACGGUCGGAUUAACACUCGAGUCACACUAUCCACCCGUUUUUGGUAGUUUUUGGAACGUUUAUUUUGGACUAUAUGGCAUGUAAUAGGCUUGUUUUGUCAUUCCUCUUUUGUUUUGAUAUGUAAAUCUCUAAUGAAUGAGCUUAAGUGCAAUUAGGCAACUUAUUAUGGUAUAUAUGGAUGAAGGAAGAUGUUUUGGUAAA